AACGCAAGUGGCGCUCUGCGACGAGCGGAGCAUGCUUGGCUGAGGGUUGUUUUGCAUGGUGGCGGUAUUCGGAUGGAUUCCGCCGAAGGUGGCUUGGGGACGGAGCAGAACAGGGUUUCGGCCCUUGUUUGGAAUAUGCUCUCUCAUUGUGCAACCUCAGAUCAAGCAGGAGUACCCGCCGAACUUAA
rnacentral:misc_RNA from 1 species